CAGCAGCAGCCACGGGAAUACGAAGGGUGCAAGCGUUACUCGGAAUUACUGGGCGUAAAGCGUGCGUAGGUGGUGGUUUAAGUCCGUUGUGAAAGCCCUGGGCUCAACCUGGGAAUUGCAGUGGAUACUGGAUCACUAGAGUGUGGUAGAGGAUAGUGGAAUUUCCGGUGUAGCAGUGAAAUGCGUAGAGAUCGGAAGGAACAUCUGUGGCGAAGGCGACUAUCUGGGCCAACACUGACACUGAGGCACGAAAGCGUGGGGAGCAAACAGGAUUAGAUACCCCAGUAGUCCCUGUCUCUUAUAC
rnacentral:rRNA from 1 species